rnacentral:rRNA from 1 species
CCUACGGGGGGCAGCAGUGGGGAAUAUUGCACAAUGGGGGAAACCCUGAAGCAGCGAAGCAGCGUGAGUGAAGAAGUAAUUCGUUAUGUAAAGCUCUAUCAGCAGGGAAGAAAAUGACGGUACCUGAGUAAGAAGCCCCGGCUAACUACGUUCCAGCAGCCGCGGUAAUACGUAGGGGGAAAGCGUUAUCCGGAUUGACUGGGCGUAAAGGGGGCGUAGGCGGGACGGCAAGUCUGGAGGGAAAGGCGCGGGCGCAACCCCCGGACUGCUCUGGAAACUGUACGGCUGGAGUGCAGGAUAGGUAAGUGGAAUUCCUGGUGUAGCGGUGAAAGGCGUAGAUAUUAGGAGGAACACCAGUGGCGAAGGCGGCUUACUGGACUGUAACUGACGUUGAGGCUCGAAAGCGUGGGGAGCAAACAGGAUUAGAUACCCUUGUAGUC